GACGAACGCUGGCGGCGUGCUUAACACAUGCAAGUCGAACGAUGAAGGGGUGCUUGCACCCUGGAUUAGUGGCGAACGGGUGAGUAACACGUGAGUAACCUGCCCUUCACUCUGGGAUAACUCCGGGAAACCGGUGCUAAUACUGGAUAUGACGCGCCUCCGCAUGGUGGUGUGUGGAAAGUUUUUCGGCUGGAGAUGGACUCGCGGCCGAUCAGCUUGUUGGCGGGGUAGUGGCCUACCAAGGCGAUGACGGGUAGCCGGCCUGAGAGGGCGACCGGCCACACUGGGACUGAGACACGGCCCAGACUCCUACGGGAGGCAGCAGUGGGGAAUAUUGCGCAAUGGGCGGAAGCCUGACGCAGCAACGCCGCGUGAGGGAUGACGGCCUUCGGGUUGUAAACCUCUUUCAGCGCUGACGAAGCCCUUUUGGGGUGACGGUAGGCGCAGAAGAAGCACCGGCUAACUACGUGCCAGCCGCCGCCGUAA
rnacentral:rRNA from 1 species